CUGUCAUCUUUAAAACGCGUCAAAAAGGAAAAGGUAAAAAUCAGAAACAACAAGAACCCUCGCUCUUCUUCUCCCCCCCUCCGAAUUUUCCCGAUAAAAUCAGAUAUAUACCCCCAACCCAAGAGUCCAAGACACCAGCACUCAUGAUCCCAAAACCCUAAUUACGCCUCUGACUACGAUGAUGCCAAUCCAUGACCUCUUAUCAUUAACUUCCAGAAUUACUUUCUCAAUCUCAGUUAUAAAUGGGACCAGACCGCAUCCUCUCUCCAGACCCAUCCACAUCAAAAUCAAAACCAACCGAAUCGGAGAAAGAAAAAUUCAUCGAAUGGGAAGAUUACGAGCACGAAGUUGCAAGAUUAUGGAGUCUCUCUUCUGCUCUCAACGAAUCUAAACAAAAGAAGCAAAAUUUUGAACAGAAACUUCGCUCCCUUAUUCAAGUGAAGGAGGAGGCGUUAAGUAGAUUGAAUAAAUUGGAGGAGAUGAAGGAAAGGUUGGAGGCUAGGAAAUCGAUGAUAGAAAGAAUUAAAGGGCAAUCUAAGGUUGCUGCGGAGAAUUCGACAAAAGAAGAGGAGAGGCUUAGUUCGGAAGUUCGAUCAUUAUUAGUUGCUGGCACUGCGCUUUCUGUUGCUAGUAAGCAAUUGCAGGAAUCAAGAAGGUCACUUGCUGGAGAAAGGGGUUAUUUUCGCCUCACAAAGUUGCAGAAUAAGCUAAGACUGAGACAACAAUAUAUGAUAUCACAAGUUUCAUUGCUUUAUCCUAUUAAGAUAUCAGUUGGACCUUCAGAGGAGCAGGAACUUGAAUCUUUCCCAAGCAGUAGUAAAUCAGGAAACUAUGUUGGUUCUAAACCCGUUAAUCAAGGAUCCUUGACAAUUUUAGGUCUGCAUUUGACAAUGGCUCCCUUUACAAAGAUGAGUUUUUUCACCGACAAGAAGGAGGUUCAGAGGUCCGCUAGUGCCCUCGGAUAUGUUGCUCAUACUGUUUCACUUAUUGCCUCCUACACUCCUUUUCUCUCUUGCAGGCUGUUUCACUUAUUGCCUCGUACUUGGAAGUUCCUUUGCGUUACCCUUUACGUUUGGGUGGUUCCAAUUCCUAUAUUAUUGAUUGUGCACCUUCAGUAGAGUUAUCUGAUUUGUUGUCAAGUACAUUGUCUACUGCAAAUACAAAACCUGUUGAAUUUCCCCUCUUUUUAGAAGGUCAAGAUACCACGCGAGCAGCAUAUGCUGUAUUCCUUUUAAACAAGGAUCUGGAUCAGCUUUUAAAUUACAUUGGUGCUAGAAGUUUAGGACCACGGCAUGUAUUGGCUAAUUUGAAGGAGCUUACAAGGACAAUUCAGUCAGCAGAAUUUUUAGACUCAUGAUCCGCUCUCCCAAUCUUGACUUGAAAGUUAGUGCUUCUUUUGUAAAUGGAUACCUGUAUUCUUACAUGGGUGCGAGUUUUUGAUGCAGCACCGUGUCAUAGAUCUUCAUAUAUUUCCACUUUUUAUUGAUAAAAGCAUGGUCAAUAUGGAUUCUUUCUCUAGGAGUCAUACAGUCUUGUUACACUUUGCUGAGUUAUAGCUUUUAAAAAAAAAUGAAACAACUUUCCUACUU